rnacentral:pre_miRNA from 1 species
CGGGGGGAUCUGGGCUGUGUCCCACGGCGCCCUGGGCUCUGGGGCCUGCGCUGCUGGAAUCGCGCUCCCGGGGUGCAGCUCCCG